rnacentral:rRNA from 1 species
GGGCCCGCACAAGCAGUGGAGCAUGUGGUUUAAUUCGAUGCAACGCGAAGAACCUUACCAGGCCUUGACAUCCAGAGAAGCCAGCGGAGACGCAGGUGUGCCUUCGGGAACUCUGAGACAGGUGCUGCAUGGCUGUCGUCAGCUCGUGUUGUGAAAUGUUGGGUUAAGUCCCGCAACGAGCGCAACCCUUAUCCUUGUUUGCCAGCACGUAAUGGUGGGAACUCCAGGGAGACUGCCGGUGAUAAACCGGAGGAAGGUGGGGACGACGUCAAGUCAUCAUGGCCCUUACGAGUAGGGCUACACACGUGCUACAAUGGCGCAUACAGAGGGCAGCAAGCUAGCGAUAGUGAGCGAAUCCCAAAAAGUGCGUCGUAGUCCGGAUUGGAGUCUGCAACUCGACUCCAUGAAGUCGGAAUCGCUAGUAAUCG